AGUUAACUCCUCAAUUGAGAAAAGUCAACUUGGUUUAAUUAACCCUAAUUCACAAGUUCUAACCAAAUUACUAAUUGAAUUUAGUAAAAUGUUAAAAUUAGUAAA